rnacentral:lncRNA from 1 species
UUUAAUUUUUUUUUGUCAAUAAAUUUAGUAAAACAUUAUAAUAUUCCUUAAAUUGGUUGACUAACCACUAUAAAAUCGCCAUUAAUUAGAAAAACGGAGAACACAAAGGUUCCAAACCUCUUUAACCUUCAUCAUAUGUUAGUGAAGGAUGCAUCUAUGCAUUAAAAUAGAAUUUUUUUUUUUUUUGAAUUUCUCUCAAAAUCUAUGGGUUAACCCCUACGAAAAUAUUGAAUUUUUCGGUAAAUGUUCUAUAUACUGAAGCCUAUGAUUUUUAGUGUUCUUUUAAAAUUUCUAAACACAUUCU